AUGUGGGCCCAGAAUGGGACCCAAGACAACAGGCCCCCUCCCCGUCUGAACCCACGGCUAAGUGUUAUCUUCCAAGCCCAAGCUAUGACCUUCCUCUCCCCAAAGCUCCAGAAAAGGAAUGGAAUCUGAACAUUGAGACGCUUUUCUGGCCCUAAACAAUCCUUCCAUUCUCUAGGCUCAAUGAUGGGUCUAUUUCCUCCUGUAAAUGGGUCUCGUAAUCUUCAACUUUUACCUUUGCUUCUAAGGGUAAUUAAUUGGAUCUCCCUCUUGUUCUCCCUACACACUCCCCUCUCUGUUACAAGGCUCAGGUUAAGCCGGGUGGAUGGCUUUUCUUUCUUUCUAUUGCAUGGAGUGCUCAUUUUUAAAGCCGAUGGAGUAAGGGCUUGCCCUCUCCAGUGAACCUCUUCUCCAGAGAAGCCUGCUAGGGAAACACCACUUCCUCGGGCCCAGGAAAGCGGCCUCUGCCCAGCUAAAGGCUUUUCAGAGAGCCAGUUCGGAACAACUGUUUCACUUUUUCUUCCCAGAAAAAGUCAUGUAUUUGAUUAUGGAAUACUUCUCCCGAACCCUACAAGGGAACGCUAUACGGCACAUGUACCACGCUGCCCUUCUAAGAUCCAAACAGUUCUUAUUAUGAAACACAUUUGGCUCCAACAGUUUUGAACAAGGAGGCUACGGUCUACGGGAGAUCAUAGUGCAAUGAGGGUUCUCUACCUGAUGAAAGACAAGCGGCCUGGACAGAGUCUCAGCCUGGGGACAGACAAGCUCAUACUCACUUAGAAGGUGCCCCUAAAAUGUUCAUGUCACUAUGUAAUGUGGCAAAACACCUCAGUGAAACAGACGGUUCUAAAUACAAUU